AGGGGGCAAGGGCGGCAGCCCAUUGUGGUCUGGCUGAGGAAAUGUGGCUGGAAGGAGAGGGGUGGGGGAAACGAGAAACUUCAGGGACCGUCAUGGCUCCCGGUGUGAAGACAGAGCUGGCAAGCAGACCGGGCCCUGGGCUCGGCCCCAGGCAGCAAGUCAACUGCCUCUGCAGAGGUGCUAGUGUCCGUUGGCUACAGUGGGCUUGGGACAGCAGAGGAGAGCCAAACAGACUCCUCCAGGAGCCCGCAUCUGAGGGGGUCAGGGAGCUGAACCUGGGGAGCCUCCAGCGGAGGGCGGGGAUCCCCUCCACCCUGCAAGGCUAUUGCCUCACGCUCCCCAGGUACAUCUGAGGUUUCUCUGGGCUCCUGGAAACAGAGCUGGGGAAUCCCAGAAGCACUUUGAAUCACCUCCUUUAGUGUCCUGUGCCUGGUGCCUCAGCCCUAGGAAAAUCUUAGCUGGGGAGUAGCCACAAUGAAAACUGAAAGGGAGAGCGACAGGGCGUGGCGUCUGCUGACACAGCCCGGCUGCCGGCUCAGUCCGGGAGGGAGCAGCUCGUCCAUCACCAGAGCUGGACCAUGGAGUCCGUGGGAGAGUGGAGCCGGCCCUCACCAAAUCAAAGGGAGGCAGGAAGCGGGGAGCAGGGAAGGAGGAAGGAGUAGGGCUAGAACCAAACCUUCCCAUUUUCUGCACAGAAGGCAGAGGGUGGGACUUUGAAGGGCUGGGGACAUUCUACCGCUUCCUUUCCCUGGGAGUGUGAGAGGGGGUGUCUCUGCACACUCGGGAGCCCCCCAAGCCCCCUGGAAACCGGGCCCCACGGCCAUCCAGGUACAGAGCCCAGCUCCCGGCGGGGUGCACGUUGCCUUCCCCGCUGACCUCUAUGCUGGUCCCUGGCCCUGGGGCUCCGGGCCAGGCUGAAGCUCAGAGAGCCACGCUGUGCUGUACCUCUGCGGCAGGCGGGACGGGCAGGGUGGCUGUGCUGACCAACUCCACCCUGGGCACGGAUUAUGGCCAAGGAGCCUGGCCAGCGCUGGCAGCUUCUGCAGCCCAGAGAAAGCCACACUCUGCAAACACUGAGCCACUUGGCUGCCCAUCCCGGGUUUGGGUGAGCAUCCAGGGCACUGAGCUCCGCCCGCCGUGGGAACGGGGUGUGUGGGCCCUUCUCCUACCACAACAGCUCCGGGUUCCCUCCAUCCUGGGGUCCCCGUGGGGGUGCCCCCGGGAGGUCUUGCUCGGCCUUUCCUUCUGCCCCCACCUACGGCGACACUGUUGGGACGUGAGACUCAUUAUCCAGGUCACUCUCCUUGGUGCUUUGCUGAUAUUUUGUCACUUAACCUCUCUGUAACCCAGGGUCAUGCUGCAACUACUGUUCCCGCUCUACAGGAUGAACACGCUGGGGCCCCAAGAAGGGUGGCUCGCCCAGGGGCCACAGUCAGCACUGCAGGAGCCAGGACAGCCCCUCUCCACCUCCUCAGUGUCACUGCACUACCCAAGACCUAGCUGCUGCCACACCUACAGCUUCCCAGUUCCUCCCAAGAAGGGAUCCCGAACACUGGGCACAGGACACAGACCCUCUGGAUAAGCGACAUGGCGGUGGCAGGGGCUGGGUGACAGGACCUUUGGCUCGGCCUGAACAGAAGUGUGGCCUGACCUGGCUCACCUGGCAGGUAGGGAGAGGGCGGGGACCAGCACCAGGCGACAAGGAAGCACUUGCUUGGUGUGAGCCCUGGGCCAGGCACUUGCAAGAUGGACAUUCAGCCCAGGGCAGAGCCAGCCAGCUGUGUGAACAGCUGUUUUAGGGCUGGUGCCCUGUGGGGACAGCCUCUACUUCAUGUGACCAAGGCUUUGUCCUUCCCACCCACCGCUACCCUAAAGACCAAAAGGGAGACAUAAAUAACCCCUAGAGCAUCCAAGAGGGCAGAAAGGGCUAACUUGCAAGGGAAGACAGAGUUCAGGGGCCGCCUGUCCCAUAGAAAAAGAUAUUUCUGUUUUGCUUUGUUUUGGUACCGGGGAUCGAAAUCGGACCCUCGCGCUUGAGAGACAGGCACCAGAACCACUGAGCUAAAUCCCCAGCCCUUGCCUGUCCUGUAAGAUGCGUUGAUGUCCUUCACGUUCCUAGAACAGCCUGUAGGGCCACGCUUCACUCCAGGCCCCGGGCACCCAGACAGAAAAUGAGGGGUCACAGCCCUGGGUGUAAUAUGAGAGGUAGAGAGGAGCCAAAGGAGUCAGCGCUGGAGUCAGAGGCUGCCAGCCGCCAGGAGAGAAGCAUUAACCUGGGAGGGUUCAGAGGGGUGAAUCUCCAACCAGGCUUGGGAGGCAAAUAGGAACGAUGGCCUCUUUCCCCGGGGAACCACGGGAACAGAGUGAAACUCAGAUGAGAUAGUGAAGGGACCAGUAUAUUAUACCCUGAGGGAGGGAAAAAAGGAAUUCUAUUGUCACAGUGAGAAAAGUGAGGUCCAGAGAGGAGAUGUGACUCGUCCAACAGCAAUCAAUGAGGGUGAAAGUGAACACAGGACUCAAACUGGCCCUGAUUCCAGCUCGAGGUUCUGGCUCCACUACACUGAAUUCCUGGUGCGUUUGGUCAGCUUUCUGUUACUGUAACAAAAUACCAGAGAUUAACAAUUGAAAGUGAAGAAAGGUUUAUUUGACUCACGGUUUUGGAGGUUUCCGUCCACAGCCACCCGGCCCUGCUUCUUUUGGGCCUGUGGCAAGGCAGGACAUUAUGGCUGGAGCGUAAUCAUGGCGGAGAAGCCGUUCAUCUCACAGUGGCUGGGAAACAGAGAAAGAAAGCAAGGCGCUGGGGUCCUGGUAUCCCCUUCAAGGGCCCAACCUUCAGCCCACUAGGCCUCUCCUCUUAAAGCUUCACCACUUUCCGAUAGCACCACGGGCUAGGGACCAAGUCUGGAACACAUGGGCCUUUGAGGUACCUUCAAGACCCAAGCAUAGCACCAGAGAGUGCAUUUCAUAGUUAGGACUGCCUUUCUCUUUAUGAUGCUAAUACAGGUUGGGGGUCCUUUACACUGUAGUAUAAACUAGUGAUCUACAUGCCUGGCAUAGACAGCAAUAAAAAGGAUUUAAGGGGAAUAUAAAAGUGAAGAGGCCAGGAUGAGAAGGGACAAUUGGGGAACAUAUACAUUUUGGGCCCAGAAGGGGCCUCAAAGAACCUAGGCAAGGGCGUGGGGGUGAGAAAGAGUGUCUAAAGUCAGAAAGAGUGCCAAAUACAAACCUAGCAGAGUAUCUGAAGGCUGGGUCCAGACCCUCCUCCCCAGGGUGAGGGGUAGGGCCUGGAGUUAAGACUGCAGAGACCUACAGACCCCGCUGGUCCCCCAGGACCACCAGAGCUGCCCUGGGAGCACGGGGCCUAGCUCAUUUCCCCUUCCUUGUGCAGAAGAGGAGAGGAAAAGAAACAAGAACCAGAGACAGUCACUGCGCUCCCAGGGCCACCCUGUCCCUCCUGGAAAGGCCGGCAGAAGCCUGGCUGCUGCCAGGGGAUUUGUUUAGUAGAAACCGAGGUUGGCAGGAAGCAUCUCGUCCCUCACCUGGAAGCUUAAGUCUAGAACCUCAUUCGCAGUCUAAGGAACUCUGAACACUGUACAGUUUUGUAUUUUAUUUCCCUUCCAUGAUCUCUGCUGACUUCACCCACUCCGCCCUCCCUCCACCUGCCAUGGAAACGAAUUUAGAGGAAA